rnacentral:rRNA from 1 species
ACGAACGCUGGCGGCGUGCUUAACCCAUGCAAGUCGAACGGAAAGGCCCUGCUUUUGUGGGGUGCUCGAGUGGCGAACGGGUGAGUAACACGUGAGUAACCUGCCCUUGACUUUGGGAUAACUUCAGGAAACUGGGGCUAAUACCGGAUAGGAGCUCCUGCUGCAUGGUGGGGGUUGGAAAGUUUCGGCGGUUGGGGAUGGACUCGCGGCUUAUCAGCUUGUUGGUGGGGUAGUGGCUUACCAAGGCUUUGACGGGUAGCCGGCCUGAGAGGGUGACCGGCCACAUGGGACUGGGGAUACGGCCAGGAUCCUUCGGGGGGGAAGAGGGGGGAAAAUUGCCACAUGGGGCGAAGGCUGGAGCCACAACCCCGGGGGGGGGAUGGCGGGCUUCGGGGUGUAAACCGCUUUCGCCUGUGACGAAGCGUGAGUGACGGUAAUGGGUAAAGAAGCACCGGCUAACUACGUG